GAGACAGCCUCCCGCCAUCUCUCCCUACUUCCGAAUAAGAGGAUUCUAAUGGAGUCACCAUGGAUGAUGAGGCUGAGCCCCGAGGUCCUCCCCUGCCGGGACUGUUUCUGCUGCCUGGUUGUUAGCUGUGUGGCUGCCGCCUUUGUCUUUGGUUUCUGCAGGGAAAGGCAUUCAAAGAAGGAGGUGCAUUUGGAUUUCCAUACUGCUCGGUCCCUAUUUGAUUCUCGUGAACUCGGCAAAGAUUCGUGAGCUGUGCUGGGUUUAUAAAAGGGGCCUUAAAGAGCUGAAUAUGACAUAGCCCCCCUACUUCAAGGAGCUUGUGGUUUGGAAAGUGUGGAAAAACAAGCACACUCCACCUGUGGCAGAGACUAUAAACUAUGAAAGGCAUGGAUGUGGGCCUAUGGGAUGUUGGGAAUUUGAGGAAGAUGGGAAAGAACUUUGUAGAAGAGAAAACGUUUAAGUUGGGCCUUGAAGGAUGGUGUGACAUAGACAGUUAAUAAAUGCUUACUUAAUGUC